rnacentral:rRNA from 1 species
GAGUUUGAUCCUGGCUCAGAUUGAACGCUGGCGGCAUGCCUUACACAUGCAAGUCGAACGGCAGCACGGGAGCUUGCUCCUGGUGGCGAGUGGCGAACGGGUGAGUAAUGCAUCGGAACGUAUCCUGGAGUGGGGGAUAACGUAGCGAAAGUUACGCUAAUACCGCAUAUUCUGUGAGCAGGAAAGCGGGGGACCUUCGGGCCUCGCGCUCUUGGAGCGGCCGAUGUCGGAUUAGCUAGUUGGUGAGGUAAAGGCUCACCAAGGCGACGAUCCGUAGCAGGUCUGAGAGGAUGAUCUGCCACACUGGAACUGAGACACGGUCCAGACUCCUACGGGAGGCAGCAGUGGGGAAUUUUGGACAAUGGGGGCAACCCGUGAUCCAGCCAUGCCGCGUGAGUGAAGAAGGCCU